rnacentral:rRNA from 1 species
UACGGAGGGGGCUAGCGUUGUUCGGAAUUACUGGGCGUAAAGCGCGCGUAGGCGGCUUUGUAAGUUAGAGGUGAAAGCCCAGAGCUUAACUCUGGAAUUGCCUUUAAGACUGCAUCGCUUGAAUCAUGGAGAGGUGAGUGGAAUUCCGAGUGUAGAGGUGAAAUUCGUAGAUAUUCGGAAGAACACCAGUGGCGAAGGCGACCCACUGGACAUGUAUUGACGCUGAGGUGCGAAAGCGUGGGGAGCAAACAGG